CUCACUCUUGCUCAGGCUAGUAUCAAUCUCCUAGCCUCAAAUGAUCCUCCUGCCUUGGCCUUCCAUAGUGCUAGGACUAGGUGUCAGCCAACACACUUGGCCUCCAGGCACUUAUGACCAAUCAGCAAGGCAUGGCAUUUGUUUAGUUGUUUGUAGUCUGUUCCCCCAUUAGGAUAUAAAUUUCAUAGGGGCAGAGACUGUUUUGGAACUGCUGUAUCCCUCGUGCCUAGAACAAUACUUACCAUGACCUGAGGUUAGGGAUUCAAUUAAUACUUCCUACCAGCUGGAUGAAAAAAAUAAAUAAUAGAUCAAUAAGAAUUAGCCUACUUUCUUCUCUUGCUUUUCCCUUUAUUUUAUGUCUCCCACUGCCACUGUUCUUCAUUUAGCCAAGUUUUCAUGUAUCAAGAAUAUGGUGUUUUGUUUCUCUUUAGUUAUAAAUGUGUUAUCUAUCCACCUAUUUUUGUAGAAAAGUACCCUUCCAUUCGAUGCUGGAGCUUCAUUUAAUGCCCACGAUUGUCUAUGGCAGCAAAAGUUGGACCGUGUGUGUGCGUGUAUAUAUUUUAAACUUGUCUUUACCCUGUAAUGUUUGUAGUAAAAACAAAGGGGGAUAUAGAUUACCUGUCUUUGAUGUAACUUUUCCAUGUUGUUGCAAGUCAUUCAAGAAUGAAUGCAGAGCAUAAUGUUUAAACUUGGAGAGGCAGAAAUUCAACAUUUCUUUGAACCGAAUCAUGGAAUUCCUAUACUAUUUAGAUAGACUUCCAGUUGAGUAAGAGAGCUGACAUACAGUAUAAACUCUUCUCAAUAGGCUGGAUUCUUCUUUAAAUUAUUUUUUCAGUAUUUAAUUAAAAUGCUAUAGCAAUUCAUUUUUGUUACAUUCAACUAACAUUUCCUAAGGGACUAUAGUGUAAACUAUAAUAAUAUUAAUAAUUUAUAAAUACAAGCUGGGUGUCAGGAACUCUUAUAGGAAUUGCAUACAUUCGUUUUUAAAAUUUUGAAAUUUAUAACAGUUCUGUAAGGUAGUGAAUAUCAUCCUUGUUUCCCAUUAGGAAUUUGAGGCUUCCAGGUGGUUAGUUUGAGAAAUUCCAUAAUGUCAGGAAUGUCAAAGCUUGGAAAUUAACCCAGUCUGAAUUUAAAGCUUGAACUUGUUCUGUUAGACUAAUGUUUCCCCAACUGUGGAUCACAACCUACAUUAAUAAAAUAAUUUUAAAUUAUGAUUAUUUGUACACAUACAUAUAAUUGAAACAAAAGUUUCACUAUAUAAUACUCUAAGCAUGUGGAAUGAACUCUAUUCCAGCCUAACCUGACCUAGCCCAACCUUGCUAUGUCAUGCUUUGCCUGUCCUGUCCUAUCCUAUCCUAUCCUAUCCUAUCCUAUCCUAUUACAUUCCACGCUGUCAUAGACCCACUAAAUUGGUUUUAUGAUGCACCCAUUGUUCUAUAUGCUGCUUCUAUAUUCUUAAAGCACUGUGGAUACAAAAUUUGAUAAAAUUAAAUGGUUGAGAAAAAUCACUCAGUUUAUUUAGCAUUUAUAGAAAGCUCGGUAUGUAUAGAAAGAAUAUUGUACUGCAUACCAUCUCCACUGCCUACAUCAGAAAGUCAGAAUUCGAUAGUGUAUUAUUUUUACCUCUUCAGCCUCAUGUCCUGCACAUUCCUCCUACACCUCUGUACAGGUGCCAUUUGAAGGAUCUUGAAUAAAACACACAACCCAUGCC